rnacentral:tRNA from 1 species
CAGGGAAUAGUUUAAAUNAGUAAUAUCAGCUUUGGGAGUUGAAGGUGGAAUUUGUKGUUGUUUCUUCCCUGA